rnacentral:rRNA from 1 species
GGUGUAAGAAAAUUUUAUAAUUGUACCUUUUGUGUCAGGGAAAUUUAAAAGUGUACAAAGGGUAUAGUCGAUUUUACUGGAUAUUCUUAUUUAAGUGUUAGUUGAAUUUAAUUGUUAAAGUUAUUAAGGGGUGAAAAGUGUACGGCGGUUAUGGUAUCUAAUUGUUUUUAAAUUUUAAAAGGUUAAGCUUUUAAAAUUUUAUGUAUGGUUGUUGUUAGAAAAACUAGGCUUUAGAUUAGCUAUGUUUGUAUGUUGUUUAAAAUAAUUUUUAGAAUUAGUUUGGCUAUAAAAUUAAAAAGACUAUGUUAAAAUUUAUCAAUUUAUAUAAAUAAUGAAUUUAUUGAACAAUAAGUGGAGUUUUAAAAUAACUAAAUAUAAGUUGGAAAGUUUAGCAAAAACAUUUCUGUUUGGUUAAAUAAAAGUAAGGCCUGCCCGGUGUGAAUUAAACGGCUGCAGUAUUUUGACUGUGCAAAGGUAGCAUAAUCAUUUGCUUUUUAAUUGGUAGCUAGAAUGAAAGGUUAAACUAGUUUGUUAAGUUUGUAUAAUUAAUUAAGAAAUUUAAGUAAAGGUAAGAAUUCUUUUAUAGUCUAGGGGACGAUAAGACCCUAGAAGCUUUAUAAAAAGGUUAAUUUUUAGUGGUGGUGUACAAUUUGUUUUACUGGGGUGGUAUUAGUAUAUUAACUAUCAAAGUUUUGAGGGAUUUUUUAUAUAAAAAUAUAACGGUAAAGUUACUCUAGGGAUAACAGUACAAUAUAUUUGGAGAGACCUUAUCGAUAAGUAUGUUUGUAACCUCGAUGUUGAAUUAGAAUAUCUAAGUAGGGCAGAGAACACAAUAGAAGGUUUGUUCAACC